CGCGGGGGAGGAAAGAGGGGAGGGUACCGGGUGGAAUUUUGGAGGAGGGGAACCACUUUUAGCACUUUUAAUCCAUUUUAGCACCUCUUGAGAGGCUAAUGAAUUAUGAGGGGCUAAAAUUUAGCCCUUUCAUUUUAGCUUGGGCUAAAAUUUAGCACCCUCCUCGUCAAUCGCCAUCUUCCUCCUUCGGUCUCUCUGACGCUCGCCCAAAUCGCCUCCCGAUCCGUCCCACGCCACGCUCGCGUCGCCCUAUCUCCUCUCCUCGGCCGCGGCGGCAGUAGUGCCGCAUGCCCGUGACGACAGGGAUGUGGGCGGUGUUUGCAACAAUGGUCGACGGAGGCUGUGGGGGCAGCUCCUUCUUCCGCGGCGCAUUAGUCCCAAACGUGUCGCAGCCCGUCGUCCCGUGGUCGCAGCCAUGGAGGCUGCCGCCCCCUCCUCGCCGCCGCGAUGGUCUCCAGUCUCCACCUCCUCGCAGCCACGACCUCUGACAUCGGGCAUGGUUGCGCUUCCACGACGACAUCAUUGUCUUACCUGCAGCGCUGCUCGAAUGUGAAGGGCUUAAAGGGAGCAAGUGAUCUCUUCCUGGUAAUCAUAUCUGAAGCCGCGAGAAGCGGUGGUUUUUUUUUUCCCUCUGUUCCACUUUCAACUUUACUGCUACGGAUUCGUGGGUCGUAGAGUGUCUCAUGGAAUUUGUUUAGUGGCUGUUCGAUAUCAACAGGAGGGAGGAUGUACCGAAGAAUGUUGACGUAACUAUUGUUUUAACUGGAUUAAGGUUAUUAGCAUUUCCA